rfam:Gossypium hirsutum cultivar TM-1 chromosome 2, whole genome shotgun sequence
AGCCCAUGGUGAGGGCACCUUCUCUACAGAUCCUUGUAUCUCUCUCAUGCAUCAUAGAGUGUUUCUAGAUCCAUCUAGACAAAAGAAGAGAUAGCAUUCCUUAAUUU